rnacentral:lncRNA from 1 species
UUAUGGAGAAGGGAGAGGCUCUAUGGUAAUGGUGUUGGAUAAGAUGGUGGUUUGUGAAUAACCAAGAGCCCAGAGGGAGUGUGAGUUCAAGAGAGGUAGGUAGCUUGAGGCCUAGUGAUUGAUUGAUUGAUGGACAAUGGUCGAAUGGUGCUUGGUGUGUGCUUAUUGGUAGUAGUGGUUGGAUUGGAGUUGUGUAAUGGUGUAGUGAUUUCGGUUGUGGGCUUUGGAUUGUUGGGUGGCUGGUGAGAGUUGAAAA